rnacentral:rRNA from 1 species
GACGAACGCUGGCGGCGUGCUUAACACAUGCAAGUCGAACGGUGAAGCGCCUUCCUUUUUGGUGGGUGUGGAUGAGUGGCGAACGGGUGAGUAACACGUGAGUAACCUGCCCCCUUCUUCUGGAUAACCGCAUGAAAGUGUGUCUAAUACGGGAUAUUCUGGGUCUGUCGCAUGAUGGGUCUGGGAAAGAUAUUGUUUCGGGGGGGGAUGGGCUCGCGGCCUAUCAGCGUGUUGGGGGGGUGAUGGCCUACCAAGGGGGUGACGGGUGGCCGGCUUGAGAGGGUGGACGGUCACACUGGGACUGAGACAAGGCCCAGACUGCUACGGGGGGCAGCAGUGGGGAAUAGUGCACAAUGGGCGAAAGUCUGAUGCAGCGACGCCGCGUGAGGGAUGGAGGCCUUCGGGUUGUGAACGUCUUUCGCCAGUGAAGCAGGCCUGCCUGGUGUGUGGGUGGGUUGACGGUAGCUGGAGAAGAAGCGCCGGCUAACUACGUG